CUACGGGUGGCUCCAGUGGGGAAUAUUGCACAAUGGGCGCAAGCCUGAUACAGCCAUGCCGCGUGUAUGAAGAAGGCCUUCGGGUUGUAAAGUACUUUCAGCGGGGAGGAAGGGAGUAAAGUUAAUACCUUUGCUCAUUGACGUUACCCGCAGAAGAAGCACCGGCUAACUCCGUGCCAGCAGCCGCGGUAAUACGGAGGGUGCAAUCGUUAAUCGGAAUUACUGGGCGUAAAGCGCACGCAGGCGGUGUGUUAAGUCAGAUGUGAAAUCCCCGGGCUCAACCUGGGAACUGCAUCUGAUACUGGCAAGCUUGAGUCUCGUAGAGGGGGGUAGAAUUCCAGGUGUAGCGGUGAAAUGCGUAGAGAUCUGGAGGAAUACCGGUGGCGAAGGCGGCCCCCUGGACGAAGACUGACGCUCAGGUGCGAAAGCGUGGGGAGCAAACAGGAUUAGAUACCCCUGUAGUC
rnacentral:rRNA from 1 species